rnacentral:rRNA from 1 species
AUACGUAGGUGGCGAGCGUUGUCCGGAAUUAUUGGGCGUAAAGAGCAUGUAGGCGGCUUAAUAAGUCGAGCGUGAAAAUGCGGGGCUCAACCCCGUAUGGCGCUGGAAACUGUUAGGCUUGAGUGCAGGAGAGGAAAGGGGAAUUCACAGUGUAGCGGUGAAAUGCGUAGAUAUUGGGAGGAACACCAGUGGCGAAGGCGCCUUUCUGGACUGUGUCUGACGCUGAGAUGCGAAAGCCAGGGUAGCGAACGGGAUUAGAUAUCCCGGUAGUCCUGGCCGUAAACGAUGGGUACUAGGUGUAGGAGGUAUCGACCCCUUCUGUGCCGGAGUUAACGCAAUAAGUACCCCGCCUGGGGAGUACGGCCGCAAGGUUGAAACUCAAAUGAAUUGACGGGG